UACAAGUUUUAAUAUAAUAUUUUUAUUUUCUUGCCUCCUACAAUUCAGACCAGUUCUAUGUAAUUUGAAUAUACCCUGAAGAGACUAACUUGGUCACAUGAUUCCCUCUGCCAUAGGUCAGCCACCUUCAAAGCAGCGCUUGGCGGGAGUACAUCAGCCAGAAGGGUGGGCAACAUCAGAGUGAGCAGCAAGAGAGAUCUGUGCUUCCUCCAAAUACUUGAGGAGGUGGAGAAAAUAUCUUGAGAUCUUCAGGGAAAAGUAUGAAGACAAAAGCCAUAUCCCAUAAGUGUCUGAGGAACAGAUAGAUGCCACCUGGGUCCCUGAUAUUACUAAAACAUCACAUCGACCUACUUACCUGUAGCUUCUUAUAAGGUAAAACAAAAACAGAAACAAAACUCCCUGUUUAAUCCACCAAGAUUAAAC
rnacentral:lncRNA from 1 species